rnacentral:rRNA from 1 species
UAAUACGGAGGGGGCAAGCGUUGUUCGGAAUUAUUGGGCGUAAAGGGCGCGUAGGCGGCCAUGCAAGUCGGUUGUGAAAUCCCUUGGCUCAACCAAGGAACUGCGUCCGAAACUGCAUGGCUCGAGUCCGGGAGAGGGUAGUGGAAUUCCCAGUGUAGCGGUGAAAUGCGUAGAUAUUGGGAGGAACACCGGUGGCGAAGGCGGCUACCUGGACCGGUACUGACGCUGAGGCGCGAAAGCUAGGGGAGCAAACAGGAUUAGAUACCCUGGUAGUCCUAGCUGUAAACGAUGAGCACUUGGUGUAGCGGGUAUUGACCCCUGCUGUGCCGAAGCUAACGCAUUAAGUGCUCCGCCUGGGGAGUACGGUCGCAAGGCUG